CUCUUCUGAACAGUAGCGGUGUUUGUGAUACUCGAAGUCGGUUACUCAUUAACGCACACACAAACACCCCUGACUACAGACUCCUCGUACAGAGGGAAUUUCUCAACCAUGCCCAGUACACUGGGAUUACUUCGGAGUCGCUCUUCUGAACAGUAGCGGUGUUUGUGAUACUCGAAGUCGGUUACUCAUUAACGCACACACAAACACCCCUGACUACAGACUCCUGGUACAGACGACCAUAGACAAGGCCCACUUUAACGGAAUUUCUCAACCAUGCCCAGUACACUGGGAUCACUUCGGAGUCGCUCUUCCGAACCGUAGCGGGGUUUGUGUUUCUCGAAGUCGGUUACUCAUUAACGCACACACAAACACCCCUGACUACAGACUCCUGGUACAGACGACCACAGAAAAGCACCAGUUUAACGAUACUUCUCAACCAUGCCCAGUACACUGGGAUCACCUCGGAGUCGCUCUUCUGAACAGUAGCGGUGUUUGUGAUACUCGAAGUCGGUUACUCAUUAACGCACACACAAACACACCUGACUACAGACUCCUCGUACAGAGGAAUUUCUCAACCAUGCCCAG